UAUUAUGUAUCAGGGUGGCAGUUCAGUUUUAUUGGUGCAUUACUUAGCAAUUUUAAUACAGUUGUUUUGGCAUUGUAGUUAAAAUCUUGCAUCGCCCCUUUCUCGUUUAGAUUUUUUCUAAUCCCUGUUCAAUAGACUCUCAGUCUGGGACUCUGCAAGACUUCACUCUCUCUGCUCUGCUGAUCUGAUUAGGUGUUAGCUGCCAUCUUGCUUUUCUUGUGUGUUAGUUCGCUUUGCUACCUGCCGGUUAGUGUGGAGCUUCAAAGGUUGCUCCUGGUUGUUUGAUUCUUAUAGUGUUGCACGAAGGGAAAUAUGAUCAGAGAAUUAUUUUUGUUGUUGCCAAGCUGGUAAAUUUAAGACAGAGAGCUAGAACUGGUAGACGAGGGAUCUUCAGGGAAGGGACUGGAACAACUGCUUUGGAUCACAAAAAUAUGAAGUGAUGGCUUAAGAUUCUGGAUGGAAUUGUACCUGUGCCCUGUUGUCAGUAGCUCAGUCUUCUGCCCUAAGGUGUCAGCUUUGCGGUACCAAUGCAAAUGAACAGGACUUCAAAAGGGAGGCUAAGAAUGAGAAGAUGUUGCAUCUAGCAGAAGACCAGACUGUGAUUGCUUCUGAUGACACUCAUGCAUAAAAGUGGACCACUGCACACCUAGCAAACUUAACUGCACACUUUAUAAAGGAUGUAGUGUGUAACAGAUGUCACUCAAUCUCAGUUGAUUUAAAAUGUCAUAAUAUAAUUUAAAAAAACAAGUCAUUAAUUGUAACUAUCAGAUGUGUGAUGUUAUUAGUAGAACAAAAUGACAAUACUAAAACAACUUAAUUCAAAACAUAAAUGUAUUUCUGCUGGCAUGCUUGGUAUUUGUUAUCAAGUACUGCAUCAGCGCUUGCCGAAGGGACAGUGGAAACACACUAGUGAUGUUUAUGUAUUCUAUAGGUUAUUUGGAAGGCUUUAGAAAGUAUAAUGUUACGGCAUAUUUUUGUCUUCAUUGUUAGCCCUAUGCCAUUGGAAGCUGUGUAUGCACUAUACAAUAAACAAUACAGCCAC